rnacentral:lncRNA from 1 species
AAAGGGAGGUCCUUGUUCGAACCAAGAGGCCCCUCCGGCAGAUCAGCCUCCCACUACACCAGCACUUUCAGAAUUACUUAACUCAGGACCAACACCAGAUAAAGACAGGUUAAAAAAAAAUCAAAAAAAAAAAAAAAAAAAAAGGAAGUGGAAAUCCACUACCUAGUAACAAAAAUCCUUAAUAGAAUGUCAGCAAAUUGAUUCCAGUGAUACAUGAAAAGAAAUCACGGGAACCUGUAGGGAUUUUGCCCAGGAAUGUCCAGUUAAUGUUUUAAACAAAUUUUAGUAGGUUAGGCCAUUGGGCCAGAAAACCCUAGAGUGCGCAUCAUUUUAAAGAAUGUUUUCCCGUUGCCCACCUAGUGUCUGGAUGGUACCAGAGCCAUUAGCCUGGGGAUCCCACUGUAGCUCCUCAGCCUUCUCCACCUGCUUCAUUUGGGUUUUGUUCUGAGACAAGUUCUUUCUAUGUAUAGAUCCAGGCUGGCCUUAAAUUCACUUGUGUAGCCCUGGAUGGCCUCAAGUUUGCCAUGGUUCUCCUUUCUCAGCCUUCCAGUUGUUGGGAUUGCAGGCAUGUACUGCCAUGCCUGUUUUCUGCCUGCCCAGGGACAAUGCUACAGAGCAUUUAGGGGGACAGCUAGGAGGGAGACCAAGAAGCAAGAAGAGACUCGGAAUGCCUGCAGAGCAGGCCGCUUCUAGUUAGCCAGGGCUGAUUUAGAGAAAGCAAUGAGGUUACACAACCCAAGACCGAGAUGUAUAGGUCCCAGGACAAAGGCCACUACUUCGGGACUGCUUUUACAAAAAUUCAGCCGUGGGGCCUGGACUUGGGAAGGGGCUGAUCCAUUUGUGGGACUUAAGAAUGGCAAGUGGCCAACCUGUAUGGCCGUGUGGGGUGUGGUUAGAAAGUCCUACCUCCUCUGGUUUCUCCACCCUGCCUGUUAUUCCAUUCACAUUUGUCCAUGAAGGAACUGAGGCUAAGAAAACGCAGCACUGGCCUUGGGAAGGGUUGCUCAGUUCUCCAAAAUGUGGAUAAGAGACUGUGGAUACAUCUGAAAAGGACCACAGACACUGUACGCUGGGUGCAUUUUCCCACACUUUCAAAAAAUUGAAAGCAGACUGGAAGGGUCACCUCUUAACACGGGAGCUUUUGUUUCUUUCCUCCUUAACUGUCUGGCACAUGGGAUGUUGUUGUACAGAAUCUGGGGCCCCCACAGCCAGGGCUCUAGAAGCCAGAGCCAGAUGCAGGAUUACCCGGAGCAAGGAAAGGAGACAUUGUUUCCAAGGCUUCCUGGAUCGGUUUAGAGCAUUAAUCCAUUUCCUGGGAAACAGCCCAGGCCCCUGAAUGCAUUCCCUAGGAGACAGCACCAGGGGGCCCUAUCCUGGCUCCUCACUGUCUUGUACGUACAGUAUGGCAAAGCAGUGGAAGGCAGGCUGGGAGUACGCGCCCACACCCAGGAAGGAGGAGAGAGGAGGGAGGUUUGCAGUGGCAGUACUAAGCAAAUGCAGUAAAUACAAGUACUGCAGUUGCCAGGAGCAUGCUUAUUUUCUCUUCCCUCCACGCCUCGGGAGCAAGCCACUAAGAAUUGAUGAAGAGAGAAACUGUGUCCGAAGCAAUUGAGCAGAGCGCUCUCUGCAUGGGGUCUUCCCAGCCCACUGGUAACGGUUGAAUCAAGAUGGAGCGGUAAGCUAUGCCUUCAUCCACCAUGGAUUUUUAUUUAUUUAUUUAUUUAUUUAUUUAUCUUUAGCUUGACCCUCCUUGUAUUGUCUCAUUUAAUGAGAUGCUUUCUGAGGCAGGGGUGAGGUCCCAGCCAGGAGAGGUGCCCUGCCUUGCAUUCUCAUCCCGCCUGCUCUUGCCUGUAACGAGAUUAUUUAUAGUUUCAAUUUAGUUUUUAUUAUUAUUGCUGUUUGCUUUUCAGAGUUUGGAGAUGUACAUCAAAGCUUCUCCUGCUUCACGUGUCUCCAAAGCGUUCCUUGGCUGCCAGGGAAGAAGAGCAUCACACUCAUGGUGAACACUGAUAAUUAAAGUCAACAUCUCUGCACACUGAGUCAAUUUAUUGAACACCUUUUUUAUUGCUAGGUAAUCCUGUAUGUCAAUUCUCUAUAGCCAAAUAAUUGGUGGGUUUCCUUUUUUUUUUUUUCAAAUUUAAUGUCUCUCAUGAAAUUUGCAUUUAAUAAAGGUUGCUUUCCUGCCUUUCUCAGG